rnacentral:lncRNA from 1 species
UUUGCUUUCAAGGGGUUGUUGAGAUCCCUUUUGGAUUCUUUGUUGGAGAUUAGGGUGGGAAAUAAGCAGGACUGCUGAGGAGUCUCGGCUGUCACUUUGGAAUAUGAAAACAGUCUGGCUUCAAGUAAACCCAGUUUGAGAUUCACGCUCCCUCCUCCCUGCGCUCCUCAGCCGUCUCCCAUAAUCACUGGUCCUGGAUGGGAAUUUGUGGGAGCUGGUUGGGCCCAAACUGCGAUUUCUCAUCCAAUGCAAUGGAAAAGCCAAAAUGAGAAGAGUAAAGUUUAAAUCAGACAAAUUGCACAAAGGUCCACGAAAAGCCACAAGGAGACCACGUGCCUUUCCGAAGUUUCCGUUGAUUAGGAAAGACCAAGAGACGGAUUACUGUUCCCUUGCCAAAUGGAGAGGGUGCUCGAGCUCCUGAGGCUUGCUGUGGGAUUGGACAUUAUUCAGCCUGGUGCUAAUAGUCCUUAGUUACUCCUCACGCGCUCACAAAAGCCACACGCGUUUGUGUCGGUAACUAAGGCCUACAGAAACCACUCAGCCCUAAAUGCACACAGGAGAACCGUCGCGUUGGAGUAAAAGCUGAACUUGAUGAUCCUUCCCCUUCUCCUGUUCAAUAGCUUCUCCCCCUGAUCAAUGCACCAUGCACUGCUUUCCAUGACUGCAACCCCAGAGCCUGACACCCAUUCCUAUGACCUAUCUGGUGUGUCCUGAGUGUGAAUUCCAGCUCGACUGUGAAUUAGCUCCAUGACCAUGUGAUAAAUUCUUCAAUAAUUCCAGGCAGCAGUGUGGCAUGGCAGAAGUCCC